rnacentral:lncRNA from 1 species
CUCUCCUUGGUGUACCCGGUGCCUGGUGGGGGCUGUGGGGCAGAUCUGCAGGGAUGGUGUCCUGCCGGCAGAGGGCGCUUGCAGACAUACGUCAUUUCCUGCAAUCUGAGCUGGAGUGACAGGCGCUGAGGUUUGUCAGCAUGCCAGCUGGGAGGAAUUGCUGCUGAAGAUCACAGAGAAUCUCCCCAGGGGAAGGACAACUGUUAGCAGGAGGCAGCCAGAGCUGAGAGAGUGCCAGCCUGGGACAGCUCGAGUGUUCUGCUUUGGUGGGUUUGUGUUCUGUCUGCAUCAAGAAACUGAUAAAACUGCCAAAUGUUUCCUACCGUCUAUCUUUUAUUUUGCUCUUCAAAUUAUUGAUAUUUUGGGUUUCUUAUAUUAGAGAAACCCUGUAAUAUUUAACCUUCUGUGUCUAGUUUAUUUUACUUAGCAUUAUGAUCUCACAUUCCAUCCAUUUUCCUACAGACAACUUCUUUAUGGCUGAAUAGUACUCCAUAAUGUCUGCAUACCAUAUUUUAAAAAAUGCAUUUCUAUGUUGCUGGUCAUCUAGGUUGUUUCCAUGACUUAGCUACUGCAAAAUGAGAGAGAGCUGGUCACUGAUAGGGAGGCUGACUGUGGCAAUGCAAAGAGAGUCUGGGGAAGGGAGAGGAGACAGGUAGGAGAGGGGAGUGGAGGAUGUGUCUCAGUUCUCUAAGGUGAAUGUGAUUACUGUACAUUGCAAACAUAUACUAAUAAAAAUUAAAAAUGAGACAUUCAGCUUUUUCCUGCUGCCCCCCCCAACUCCAAGGCUCAAAGGGCCUCCAGUGGUAGAGCCGUGCAUGGAGACCCCUGGAGGACCAAGGCACCCAUGUUCUGGGGACCCAAGGAAGCAAAAGGGAGUGCCUUUGGGAGUUGGGUGGAGGGCGAGCUGGAAAG